rnacentral:rRNA from 1 species
UACGAAGGGGGCUAGCGUUGCUCGGAAUUACUGGGCGUAAAGCGCGCGUAGGCGGAUCAGAAAGUUGGGGGUGAAAUCCCGGGGCUCAACCUCGGAAUGGCCUUCAAAACUCCUGGUCUUGAGUUCGAGAGAGGUGAGUGGAAUUCCGAGUGUAGAGGUGAAAUUCGUAGAUAUUCGGAGGAACACCAGUGGCGAAGGCGGCUCACUGGCUCGACACUGACGCUGAGGUGCGAAAGCGUGGGGAGCAAACAGG